UACGAAGGGGGCGAGCGUUGUUCGGAUUUACUGGGCGUAAAGGGCGCGUAGGCGGCCUUGUCAGUCAGGCGUGAAAGCCCCGGGCUCAACCUGGGAACGGCGCUUGGGAUGGCGAGGCUGGAGUUCGGGAGAGGAGAGUGGAAUUCCCAGUGUAGAGGUGAAAUUCGUAGAUAUUGGGAAGAACACCGGUGGCGAAGGCGGCUCUCUGGACCGACACUGACGCUGAGGCGCGAAAGCGUGGGGAGCAAACAGG
rnacentral:rRNA from 1 species